rnacentral:rRNA from 1 species
UACGAAGGGGGGCUAGCGUUGCUCGGAAUCACUGGGCGUAAAGCGCACGUAGGCGGCUUGUUAAGUCAGGGGUGAAAUCCUGGAGCUCAACUCCAGAACCUGCCUUUGAUACUGGCGAGCUUGAGUUCGGGAGAGGUGAGUGGAACUGCGAGUGUAGAGGUGAAAUUCGUAGAUAUUCGCAAGAACACCAGUGGCGAAGGCGGCUCACUGGCCCGAUACUGACGCUGAGGUGCGAAAGCGUGGGGAGCAAACAGG